rnacentral:lncRNA from 1 species
AGAACCACCUGCUGGAGAAAGGGAGCUACGGGGGCCGGGCAGGGUCCAAACGCCUCACGUGGGCGGCGGCGCCACGGUCUUCGGGGUCACAGGGAAGAGAAGGGCUCUCCUCAAGCGGGUGGAAGGAGGGAGGCCUCCCGAGGGAAUGAGACUCCAGGCCACUCCCCCGCAGCAAGGCAGGAUCACCUGCGUCGCGGAGAGCAGUUAGAGGUCCCUGGAGUGGAAAAGGGCAGUGGGACCUGGUAGCUUGGGUUCCCUGCAACUUGGGGUUCGACCUCCAGGCAAUGAAGUAGGGAUGGUCCUGCAAGUCAAGAUUCCAGUAGCAAGAGUGCAUCAGAUCUCUGUAAGGAAAAUAACUAACAUUGCUCAGUUCCCUGUAGAGUUGCAGGGCGCUUUGACGUUAUCUCCCUUGGUUCUCCAUCAGGUCGUAGUGGACUAAUUUUACAGGCGAAGUUAAGUGACUUACCCAAAACCUCACAGCUAAUAAACGGCAGAGCCGGCACCCAGCUGUACUGGCUUCCAGCGCAUCCCAUUAUCUCCAUAAAUCCCCCUGAUUCAACUAAUAUUAGACGCCCCACAGAGUCUCGCUGCUCAAAACGUGGUCAGUGGCCCAGCAGCACUGACAUGAGGACCUUAGUUGGAAACUCAGAAUCUCAGGCUCCACCCCAGACCUGCUGAACCAGCAUCUUCAACUUAACAAGAACCCGAAGAGAUUUGUGCCACAUCAAAAAGUUUGAGAAGCUCUGAUCUAGCUGGACCCUGGACACGGUGACUCUGAUUCAAUUAUGCAGAUGACCACAAGCCUCUGGGGUUGGCAGAGCCACAAGAAAGAAGGUGCCUGGAUGAAGGAGAGCUACCCACUGACCUGGACACCCAAUUAUAGGAUAGACAGUGAAGUGCAACUACAGCCCGCAAAUGAAAAUGAAUAAAAUUAAUCCAGCCCCUCAAGGCAGUCAUCUGUCUUAGAGCUAUUGGAAUCCUGGAUCAUUGUGGGAAAUGAAAAGAACUGGUUUUUAGCAAGGAGACCAAGAAACUCUACUCCCUAGGGGCUAGCAAUGAGAGAAAGGAAGCCUUGAGUCUUUGAGCACAGGGUGACAGUUUGGGUCCUAUGUGAGAUGAUCAAAUCCACAGCAACAGAGGAAAGGACAAAAGGAAAAGAUACUUCGAUGGAAUCAGCAGCCAUUGAUCCAAUGCCAACUCCAAGACUGGAACGUCGCAAUGAUAGUUCCAAGGCGGAAAUUUGACGUAAUUCUUUUCGACACAGUUUUACAGGUCUGGAUGCCCAUUUUAAUUCUUCUGAAAGCAUGCCUCCUUCUGGCUUCAGGACUCCAUCUCCAGCCUUAUGAUCUAAAAAUAAUCCCCAAACCAAAAAAUUAGAUAUUAUUUCCUCAAAAUUAGGUGUUUUAAUCAAAACAUCUUAACAUAAAUACAUUAUUAUCACCCAA